rnacentral:misc_RNA from 1 species
AGAGAAGUCAAUUUCAUAAUCUCCUGAAUGGUAGCCUUAUGAGAAUUUUGGAGACAAUAAUUUUUCAAUGGAAGUAUUUUAAUAAUUCUCAAGGAUUAGGACAUUCAAUUUUAUGAUUAUUUUAAAGGAUAAAGAUAGGAAAAGCACAUGGCCUUGAUGGAAUUUUUUUUACUGAAGUUUGGAAUUACCUUGUGGAAAUAAGGGUAUUUUCAUCGAGUCGACUAUUAAUAAGUGUGGAAGAUUGAACUUUCAUUUUUAUUUUUACUUUUU